CCUACGGGGGGCAGCAGUGGGGAAUAUUGGGCAAUGGGCGAAAGCCUGACCCAGCAACGCCGCGUGAAGGAAGAAGGCUUUCGGGUUGUAAACCUCUUUUAUCAGGGACGAAACAAAAGACGGUACCGGAUGAAUAAGCCAAGGCUAACUAUGUGCCAGCAGCCGCGGUAAUACGUAGGUGGCAAUCGUUAUGCGGAUUUAAUGGGUGUAAAGGGCGUGUAGGCGGGCUUGCAAGUCAGAUGUGAAAUUCCCGGGCUCAACCCUGGAACUGCAUUUGAAACUGUAGGUCUUGAGUGCUGGAGAGGCAAGCGGAAUUCCGUGUGUAGCGGUGAAAUGCGUAGAUAUACGGAGGAACCCCAGUGGCGAAGGCGGAUUGCUGGACAGUGACUGACGCUGAGGCGCGAAAGUGUGGGGAGCAAACAGGAUUAGAUACCCUUGUAGUC
rnacentral:rRNA from 1 species